AGUGAAGCGGCAACAGCUCAAAUUUGAAAUCUGGCUUCGGCCCGAGUUGUAAUUUGCAGAGGAAGCUUUAGGCGCGGCACCUUCUGAGUCCCCUGGAACGGGGCGCCAUAGAGGGUGAGAGCCCCGUAUAGUUGGAUGCCUAGCCUGUGUAAAGCUCCUUCGACGAGUCGAGUAGUUUGGGAAUGCUGCUCAAAAUGGGAGGUAAAUUUCUUCUAAAGCUAAAUACCGGCCAGAGACCGAUAGCGCACAAGUAGAGUGAUCGAAAGAUGAAAAGCACUUUGAAAAGAGGGUUAAAUAGCACGUGAAAUUGUUGAAAGGGAAGCGCUUGUGACCAGACUUGCGCCGGGCGGAUCAUCCGGUGUUCUCACCGGUGCACUCCGCCCGGCUCAGGCCAGCAUCGGUUCUCGCGGGGGGAUAAAGGUCCUGGGAACGUAGCUCCUCCGGGAGUGUUAUAGCCCGGGGCGUAAUGCCCUCGCGGGGACCGAGGUUCGCGCAUCUGCAAGGAUGCUGGCGUAAUGGUCAUCAGCGACCCGUCUUGAAACACGGACCAAGGAGUCAAGGUUUUGCGCGAGUGUUUGGGUGUAAAACCCGCACGCGUAAUGAAAGUGAACGUAGGUGAGAGCUUCGGCGCAUCAUCGACCGAUCCUGAUGUUUUCGGAUGGAUUUGAGUAGGAGCGUUAAGCCUUGGACCCGAAAGAUGGUGAACUAUGCUUGGAUAGGGUGAAGCCAGAGGAAACUCUGGUGGAGGCUCGCAGCGGUUCUGACGUGCAAAUCGAUCGUCAAAUCUGAGCAUGGGGGCGAAAGACUAAUCGAACCAUCUAGUAGCUGGUUACCGCCGAAGUUUCCCUCAGGAUAGCAGUGUUGUCUUCAGUUUUAUGAGGUAAAGCGAAUGAUUAGGGACUCGGGGGCGCUUUUUAGCCUUCAUCCAUUCUCAACUUUAAAUAUGUAA
rnacentral:rRNA from 1 species